ensembl:lncRNA
GGGACGAACAGUCAAACCGCAUAGAAAAAGCUGUGGUUUUGAAAAUGCCCCUUAGUAUAGUGGAAUCGGAGCAGCGGAGAAGGCUUAAUUGCUCCCAGUGAGUGAUGCCAGAGGACUUGAUUAGACCCCGGACCACUUCUCAUGUUCUUCAUUUGUGCG